rnacentral:rRNA from 1 species
GUGAACGCUGGCGGUAGGCCUAACACAUGCAAGUCGAACGGCAGCACAGUAAGAGCUUGCUCUUACGGGUGGCGAGUGGCGGACGGGUGAGGAAUACAUCGGAAUCUACUUUUUCGUGGGGGAUAACGUAGGGAAACUUACGCUAAUACCGCAUACGACCUACGGGUGAAAGCAGGGGAUCUUCGGACCUUGCGCGAUUGAAUGAGCCGAUGUCGGAUUAGCUAGUUGGCGGGGUAAAGGCCCACCAAGGCGACGAUCCGUAGCUGGUCUGAGAGGAUGAUCAGCCACACUGGAACUGAGACACGGUCCAGACUCCUACGGGAGGCAGCAGUGGGGAAUAUUGGACAAAGGGCGCAAGCCUGAUCCAGCCAUACCGCGUGGGUGAAGAAGGCCUUCGGGUUGUAAAGCCCUUUUGUUGGGAAAGAAAAGCAGCAAGUUAAUACCCCGCUGUUCUGACGGUACCCAAAGAAUAAGCACCGGCUAACUUCGUG